GGAGGUUUUUGUCAUUUCCUGCCAAACUAAACCAACAGUAACAACAACAAAGACAGAAAUGAAGCAUAGAAAACAUAUACCAAUGCUAUAGAGAAAACUUAUACAGAUCCAUUCCCCACUCCUAUGACAUUAAAUACAACAAAAAGAGGAAUGGGGAAAUUCAUACAGAAGUAACAGAUAGAUGGUACAUGCCCAGAAGGCACCCGACGACUAUAUCAGCUAUACAUUCCCUUCAACCAAAAUCUUAUAUGCAGAAUAAACUAUGCAGAAGACAACAUCAAAAGAACCAACCCUCAGCGGUGUAAUAGCUGAAGGCGAGGGCAGAAACUGCAGCGCACAUCCUAACUAAACUAAAGAGAAACAAAUCUCCCUCCCCAAACGAAAUCGAAGGGAAAACAUAAAGCCUGCAAAAUCUGACCAAAUCAUCAGGAGGAGACAAAGGUGGUGAAAUCCCCUAAAUGAAAACGGUUUUCAUGCCAAUCCCCUCUCUGCCUUCUACUUAUCAUCAUGUCAUAGCUACAAACUCUUUUACAUUUCUCCCUUCUAAGCUCGUGAGGAGUGAACGCUACAACCAAAACCCAGCUGAAAUAUCACAAGCCUCUUUCAGUUGUAUAUCUUGACUGGCUUUUCGAAUGUGUGACGGUUCUGAUUAAUAUAUGGCCUCUUAGAUGUAUUAUCUGCAUGCUCCAAUCCAAGGUACUGCUCCCAAGCA
rnacentral:misc_RNA from 1 species